rnacentral:rRNA from 1 species
GACGAACGCUGGCGGCGUGCUUAACACAUGCAAGUCGAACGAGUGGCGAACGGGUGAGUAAUACGUGAGUAACCUGCCCUCUUUUUGGGAUAAGCCUUGGAAACGGGGUCUAAUACCGGAUAAAGGGUGCUGGGCUCGCGGCCUAUCAGCUUGGUGGUGGGUUGGUGGCCUAACAAGGCGGUGACGGGUAGCCGGCCUGAGAGGGUGAACGGCCACAUUGAGACGGAGAUAAGGCCUAGAAGCCGACGGGGGGGAGCAGUGGGGGAGAUUGCAGAAUGUGCGAAAGACUGAUGCCGCGACGGUGAGUGGGGGAUGAAGGCUGUAGGGUUGUAAACCUAGUUAGCUAUAGAACGGGUAGAUGGAGAAGAAGCGCCGGCUAACUACGUGCCAGCAGCCGCGGUAAUAC